GGAAAGAAUACCUAACGGUGUAAUACCGCAGGUAGACUGGACAUCUACCUGAUACAAGGAAUGCACCUAGGCUAAUCUCCUGCUGCCANGCACGCCAGCAGGCUAANUACGGUGACGUGGGUGCAUAAGCAGUUUAAUUCAGAGAAAUUACAUAGGAGCUGUACAAAGCAGUAGCAGUAAAAGCGGAGUCUACUAUUAAAAGUCAACCACUUGUUGAAUCAAUGCCCUCUGAGAGCAUAUAAUCCUNUAGGAGCAAUCAUAGCAGAUUAUCGAAUAACAUCGUGAAUAGAAUCUAAGAAGUAUUGAUGUUAAGACGAGAGGAACGAUUGAAUACUAUUCAAGAGUAGUAUGCCGAGUCGAAAAAUGCCGUUAUGAAGAAUCUCGAAAGAGAAACAACCAGUUAGGCUGAAAGGCUGAGCUCUUCUUGUGAUCUACAAAACUGUACGGCUUCGAGAGCUACUGAAACACGCCGUUGCGCGUAAGGCAAAGACGAAGGGAUUUAGUAUUACCCCAUGGGGUAAGCUCGCUACUGACCGGUCAAAACCGAUUGCUACAACUUAGACCGGUAUGGAGUUCCUUCUAAAGAAAGCAUUAAGUUGGUUGAGAGCGUAACACGUAUUUUAAGUUUGAACCGGCCCUGGAGAGGAGUUACAGAGCCAGCAAAGGACUUAAAAAAACUCAAAGAUUGAAAUUUGGACGCGAGGAGCCCCAGUACAAACGCCGGAUGAGCAGCAUUGUGCGUUUUAAAUGUCAGAAUAGCGAACCGNCAGAAUGGAACCCUUGUACCGUAUCCCUUUGAACAAUGCUAUGCGAAUUCCUUUCAAAGAUACGACGGAGUGCCUUUCGGGAAACGCUAACACCAGGUGCUGCAUGGCUGUCGUCAGCUCGUGUCGGGAG
rnacentral:rRNA from 1 species